rnacentral:rRNA from 1 species
GACCUUCUUCGGAGGGUAUGCUUAAAGAGGGGCUUGCGCCACAUUAGUUAGUUGGUGAGGUAAAGGCUUACCAAGAUUAUGAUGUGUAGCUGGACUGAGAGGUUGAACAGCCACAUUGGGACUGAGACACGGCCCAAACUCCUACGGGAGGCAGCAGUAGGGAAUUUUCGGCAAUGGAGGAAACUCUGACCGAGCGACGCCGCGUGAACGAUGAAGUAUUUCGGUAUGUAAAGUUCUUUUAUUGAAGAAGAAAAAAUAGUGGAAAAACUAUCUUGACGUUAUUCAAUGAAUAAGCCCCGGCUAACUAUGUGCCAGCAGCCGCGGUAAGACAUAGGGGGCGAGCGUUAUCCGGAAUUAUUGGGCGUAAAGGGUGCGUAGGCGGUUAGAUAAGUCUAUAAUUUAAUUUCAGUGCUUAACGCUGUCUUGUUAUAGAAACUGUCUUGACUAGAGUGAGAUAGAGGCAAGCGGAAUUCCAUGUGUAGCGGUAAAAUGUGUAAAUAUAUGGAGGAACACCAGAAGCGUAGGCGGCUUGCUGGGUCUUUACUGACGCUGAGGCACGAAAGCGUGGGGAGCAAACAGGAUUAGAUACCCUGGUAGUCCACGCUGUAAACGAUGAGUACUAAGUGUCGGGGUAACUCGGUACUGAAGUUAACACAUUAAGUACUCCGCCUGAGUAGUACGUACGCAAGUAUGAAACUUAAAGGAAUUGACGGGACUCCGCACAAGCGGUGGAUCAUGUUGUUUAAUUCGAAGAUACACGAAAAACCUUACCAGGUCUUGACAUACUCUGCAAAGCUAUAGAAAUAUAGUGGAGGUUAUCAGGGAUACAGGUGGUGCAUGGUUGUCGUCAGUUCGUGUCGUGAGAUGUUAGGUUAAGUCCUAAAACGAACGCAACCCCUGUCGCUAGUUGCCAGCACGUAAUGGUGGGGACUUUAGCGAGACUGCCAAUUAAACAUUGGAGGAAGGUGGGGAUAACGUCAAAUCAUCAUGCCCCUUAUGAUCUGGGCUACAAACGUGAUACAAUGGCUAUUACAAAGAGUAGCUGAAACGCGAGUUUUUAGCCAAUCUCAAAAAGGUAGUCUCAGUACGGAUUGAAGUCUGCAACUCGACUUCAUGAAGCUGGAAUCGCUAGUAA